rnacentral:rRNA from 1 species
AGGUAGCGAAAUUCCUUGUCGGGUAAGUUCCGACCUGCACGAAUGGCGUAACGAUCUGAGCGCUGUCUCAACGAGGGACUCGGUGAAAUUAUAUUAUUGGUGAAGAUACCAAUUACGUACAGAAGGACAGAAAGACCCCGUGAACCUUUACUGCAACCUGAUAUUGAACUUUGGUCUAUCUCAUGUAGGAUAGGUAGGAGACUUUGAAGCCGGAGCGCCAGCUCUGGUGGAGUCAACGGUGAAAUACUACCUCUGGUAUGCUGGAGUUCUAACUUUAUACCGUUAUCCGGAUAAAGGACAGUGGCAGGCAGGCAGUUUGACUGGGGCGGUCGCCUCCAAAAAAGUAACGGAGGCGUCCAAAGGUUCCCUCAGAGUGUUUGGCAAUCACUCUUAAGAGUAUAAAGGCAUAAGGGAGCUUGACUGUGAGACAGACAUGUCGAGCAGGAACGAAAGUUGGGCUUAGUGAUCCGGCGGCUCAGUGUGGAAUGGCCGUCGCUCAACGGAUAAAAGGUACUCCGGGGAUAACAGGCUUAUCACGCCCAAGAGUCCAUAUCGACGGCGUGGUUUGGCACCUCGAUGUCGGCUCAUCGCAUCCUGGGGCCGUAGCAGGUCCCAAGGGUCCGGCUGUUCGCCGGUUAAAGCGGUACGCGAGCUGGGUUUAGAACGUCGUGAGACAGUUCGGUCCCUAUCCUCUGUGCGCGCAGGAGAAUUGAGGAGGUUUACCCCUAGUACGAGAGGACCGGGGUGAGCGAACCUCUGGUGUGCCAGUUGUCUUGCCAAGGGCAUGGCUGGUUAGCCAAGUUCGUUAGAGAUAAGUGCUGAAAGCAUAUAAGCAUGAAGCUCGCUCCAAGAAUAGUUCUCCCAUCCUUUAAGGAGUAAGACCCCAUGCAGAACACAUGGUUGAUAGGUUGGAUGUGUAAGCACAGCAAUGUGUUUAGCUGACCAAUACUAAUAGGUCGAGGACUUGAUAUU